rnacentral:rRNA from 1 species
ACCUCUUGUAUUUAAAACCCAACUCUUUAAACUUAAAUUUUUAAUAAAAUAAAAAACUUUCAACAACGGAUCUCUUGGCUCUCGCAUCGAUGAAGAACGCAGCGAAAUGCGAAAAGUAAUGUGAAUUGCAGAAUUCCGUGAAUCAUUAAAUCUUUGAACGCAAAUUGCACUCCUUGGUAUUCCGAGGAGUACACUUGCUUGAGGGUCAGUUAAAAAAAAUAUCGUUGCAUCUUUUUGGUGUUGCGGAUCUGGGUAAUCCGGUUUUAAGUCGGUUGCCUAAAAUUAAGGAUUAUAAUGUGAUACGUACUAAGAUAAAGUCGUUAAUCAUUAAGCUUAUUACAUUAUCAACUAUAUUUAGUAGGUAGUGUAUAAUUUCUGAGAAUGACCUCAAGUCAAGUGAGAAUACCCGCUGAACUUAAGCAUAUCAAUAA